AUUGGUUCAGGAAUUUUAGUGUUCCUCUGUUCAGCAUUUACAAAGUAUGUUGUACAAUGUAAAAAAAAAUAUAUUACUUUUUAAUGCAUGUUCAAGAUCAUAUUCAGCACUUAUUUUGAUUAUUUAAUAGUUGCAGUGGACUGUGCCUGAGACGAUUCCCCACAGCGCCCGCGUAUAUAGUCAGCUUGUGAAAUUGGAAUCCGAAUACUCACAAGAAGGACAAAACCAGUAUGAAAAUUAACACAAAGAAAUUGUGCCAGAAAUGUUUGAAGUAUCUAUGGGAAUGAUCUGACAACAUCGAACUUGCUGAGCCUUCCUUCUUAAAGUGACAUGACCUGAUAUUUGGCUACCCAGUUUGAGAUACGAACUAAUCAUUUGUUGUACGACUUAUUGUGUAUGAGAUUGCCACCAUUUACUGGAACUUUGAAUUUCCUGUCCACUUUAAACCCCAGCUAUCUACAGUUAUCUUUCUGCUAAAUGAAAUAAAAUACUGUGGAGGAACACGGAGAAAAGGGCACCUCAACAUGUUCAAGGUCAAGCAGGUAAACACAGUGGUAAAAUGCUCAAAAAAAAAGAUGGCAAAAAGUUACUAGUCCCCAAUUU